rnacentral:lncRNA from 1 species
GAAGAAUCUACAGUGGCUCAAUAUCAGGACCAUCUCUAGAGGAUAUUUCUGUUUGCCCAUGCAAUAUUUGAUUUCCAGAAUCUCUGGCAUCAUCAUCUAAUGUUCGAAUCCAAGAUGCUGGUUCUUUUCCUUAAGGUUGAGUGGGAUCUACCAUUUGAACCCACUUCUCAACUCAAGCCCAGUAUCUGUUUCAUGAAACCAUUUGAAAUAAGCAAAGAACAUACUCCAGUACAUGGGAUUAUAUGUACUUAUAUUGUAAAACGAAGAUUGGUGAUGCAUCUGUGUGAGUAUUGCCUGCAUAAUUUGAGCCUUAUCACAGCCUUUCCAUAUUUUGGCAUGUGGUCUG